rnacentral:rRNA from 1 species
AUGCAGUCGACGGAAACAGCUUAAAGCUUGCUUUGAACUGUUUUAGUGGCGGACGGGUGAGUAACGCGUGAGGAACCUGCCUUUCAGAGGGGGAUAACGUCUGGAAACGGACGCUAAUACCGCAUGACAUUUCGAGACCGCAUGGUUUUGAAACCAAAGGAGCAAUCCGCUGAAAGAUGGACUCGCGUCCGAUUAGCCAGUUGGUGGGGUAAAGGCCUACCAAAGCAACGAUCGGUAGCCGGACUGAGAGGUUGAACGGCCACAUUGGGACUGAGACACGGCCCAGACUCCUACGGGAGGCAGCAGUGGGGGAUAUUGCACAAUGGAGGAAACUCUGAUGCAGCAACGCCGCGUGAGGGAAGACGGUCUUCGGAUUGUAAACCUUUGUCCUCGGUGACGAUAAUGACGGUAGCCGAGGAGGAAGCUCCGGCUAACUACGUGCCAGCAGCCGCGGUAAUACGUAGGGAGCAAGCGUUGUCCGGAUUUACUGGGUGUAAAGGGUGCGUAGGCGGCUCUGCAAGUCAGGUGUGAAAACUAUCGGCUUAACUGAUAGACUGCAUUUGAAACUGUGGGGCUUGAGUGGAGUAGAGGCAGACGGAAUUCCCGGUGUAGCGGUGAAAUGCGUAGAGAUCGGGAGGAACACCAGUGGCGAAGGCGGUCUGCUGGGCUUUAACUGACGCUGAGGCACGAAAGCAUGGGUAGCAAACAGGAUUAGAUACCCUGGUAGUCCAUGCUGUAAACGAUGAUUACUAGGUGUGGGGGGGUCUGACCCCCUCCGUGCCGGAGUUAACACAAUAAGUAAUCCACCUGGGAAGUACGACCGCAAGGUUGAAACUCAAAGGAAUUGACGGGGGCCCGCACAAGCAGUGGAAUAUGUGGGUUUAAUUCGAAGCAACGCGAAGAACCUUACCAGGUCUUGACAUCUACCGAAUCCUUCAGAGAAUGAGGGAGUGCCUUUCGGGGAACGGUAAGACAGGUGGUGCAUGGUUGUCGUCAGCUCGUGUCGUGAGAUGUUUGGGUUAAGUCCCGCAACGAGCGCAACCCUA